rnacentral:lncRNA from 1 species
CGUCUCGUGUGGGAUUCAGGGGCGCCGCAGGGGAUGUCCUUUUCGUUCUUCGGCGCAACGGCCGGUGCAAGGCCUCGAAAUCGGCAGGCGAUAUAUGGGAAAUGGUCCACAGCAGAUCCAUCCACACGCAUGUGUGAUCGAUCGGGUGCAUGAUGAUGGCCUUUGGCUGUCCCUCCGUCCAUCCAGCUGCCGCUCUCGUGAGUUAUCUCGACGGUGGAGUUUUGCGUUGUCGAGAUGUGUCCAGAACGGACAGCUAGCGCGAGAAACUAUGGAAACUCUUGGAUUUCGUAGAUCCUUUCGCGCUCUGAAACUGAAAAGCAGUUCCCGGAAUCGUUUCCUGGUGCACCGGUCGACAUGCCAACGUAAGAUCACCUGAGUACCUUUGCUACGUGAAUUAGUGAGCGAGUUUUUUCUUUUAAAACCUCGUCAGGGAGUUAGUUUGUUGGAUCAACUUUGCAAAUCGAUCUGUACUACGUAGCAUUCUAUUGAUCUAGUAGUUAACUUACAAAAGACAAGAGGCUAACUAUUAUUGCGCCGCGGGAGGACGUCAUUCGUAGGGGGCCGGGUGCAGCAGCGUUGCCUG